CAGUUCGGAUUGUAGUCUGCAACUCGACUACAUGAAGCUGGAAUCGCUAGUAAUCGCGAAUCAGAAUGUCGCGGUGAAUACGUUCCCGGGUCUUGUACACACCGCCCGUCACACCAUGGGAGUCAGUAACGCCCGAAGCCGGUGACCCAACCAAUUCAGGAGGGAGCCGUCGAAGGUGGGACCGAUAACUGGGGUGAAGUCGUAACAAGGUACC
rnacentral:rRNA from 1 species